GACGAACGCUGGCGGCGUGCUUAACACAUGCAAGUCGAACGGAAAGGCCCUGCUUUUGUGGGGUGCUCGAGUGGCGAACGGGUGAGUAACACGUGAGUAACCUGCCCUUGACUUUGGGAUAACUUCAGGAAACUGGGGCUAAUACCGGAUAGGAGCUCCUGCUGCAUGGUGGGGGUUGGAAAGUUUCGGCGGUUGGGGAUGGACUCGCGGCUUAUCAGCUUGUUGGUGGGGUAGUGGCUUACCAAGGCUUUGACGGGUAGCCGGCCUGAGAGGGUGACCGGACAAGUUGGGCUUGGGCUACGCCCCGGCCCCCACGGGGAGGGGAGGGGGGAGAAUGUUGCACAGGGGGCGGGGCCCAGACCCGGCACCGCGGUGUGGGGUGUGGGGUCCUGGGGUUUGGAAACGACUUCCGCUGUAGCCGAGGGGGUAGUGAGAGUAAUGGGAAAAGAACCCCCGGCUAACUCCGUG
rnacentral:rRNA from 1 species